GACGAACGCUGGCGGCGUGCUUAACACAUGCAAGUCGAACGGAAAGGCCCUGCUUUUGUGGGGUGCUCGAGUGGCGAACGGGUGAGUAACACGUGAGUAACCUGCCCUUGACUUUGGGAUAACUUCAGGAAACUGGGGCUAAUACCGGAUAGGAGCUCCUGCUGCAUGGUGGGGGUUGGAAAGUUUCGGCGGUUGGGGAUGGACUCGCGGCUUAUCAGCUUGUUGGUGGGGUAGUGGCUUACCAAGGCUUUGACGGGUAGCCGGCCUGAGAGGGUGACCGGCCACAUGGGGACUGAGAUACGGCCCAGACUCCUACGGGAGGCAGCAGUGGGGAAUAUUGCACAAUGGGCGGAAGCCUGAUGCAGCAACGCCGCGUGCGGGAUGACGGCCUUCGGGUUGUAAACCGCUUUCGCCUGUGACGAAGCGUGAGUGACGGUAAUGGAUAAAGAAGCACCGGCUAACUACGUG
rnacentral:rRNA from 1 species